rnacentral:rRNA from 1 species
CCUACGGGCGGCAGCAGUGGGGAAUAUUGCACAAUGGGGGAAACCCUGAUGCAGCGACGCCGCGUGAGUGAAGAAGUAUUUCGGUAUGUAAAGCUCUAUCAGCAGGGAAGAAAAUGACGGUACCUGAUUAAGAAGCCCCGGCUAACUACGUGCCAGCAGCCGCGGUAAUACGUAGGGGGCAAGCGUUAUCCGGAUUUACUGGGUGUAAAGGGAGCGUAGACGGCAGCACAAGUUAGAAGUGAAAUACCCAGGGCUUAACUCGGGUGCUGCUUCUAAAACUGUAAGACUUGAGUGCAGUAGAGGUUAGUGGAAUUCCUAGUGUAGCGGUGGAAUGCGUAGAUAUUAGGAGGAACACCAGAGGCGAAGGCGGCUAACUGGACUGCAACUGACGCUGAGGCACGAAAGUGUGGGGAGCAAACAGGAUUAGAUACCCCUGUAGUC